rnacentral:rRNA from 1 species
UGUGAAUGUGAGCAAAUCCCAAAAAUAACGUCUCAGUUCGGAUUGUAGUCUGCAACUCGACUACAUGAAGCUGGAAUCGCUAGUAAUCGCGAAUCAGAAUGUCGCGGUGAAUACGUUCCCGGGUCUUGUACACACCGCCCGUCACACCAUGGGAGUCAGUAACGCCCGAAGCCGGUGACCCAACCAAACGGAGGGAGCCGUCGAAGGUGGGACCGAUAACUGGGGUGAAGUCGUAACAAGGUAAC